CAUUUCGCACAAAGCGCUGCUUCAUCUGCGCAACAUAUCACCGUAGCUGGAGCUCUCUCACACACAUCGCACUGAAUCUUCAUCUUCCUUAAAAACCCCCUGCUUUUCAAUCCUUUUUCUCUAAUUUAGCAGAUACCCACUUUGUUUUUUCAACUACUGCAGUGACCUUUCUCUUAGGGAGAUUCGGAACAUGGCCAUGAAAGUGAAAGUGGAGAUAAACCUUUCAAGAAUCAAGAGAUACCCACUAUCAAUGCCUGAAAAUUGCUUGAAAUACAACAAAUAAUGUAAGCCAAACCAAAA
rnacentral:misc_RNA from 1 species